AGCAUCUCUGACAUCUAAAGGAGAUGGAGUUCGUCUACUUGGUCUAGAGAAACAUAACUGUAUUAGAAUAUGCUUGUAAGUUACUGGAGUUGGGCCGAUACUCCCCUGAGACGCUGUUGGAUGAGGGCAAGAAGGCUAGGAGGUUCCAGUGGAGCCUCCGCCUAGAGAUCAGACAGCACUUGUUCAUGCUAGAGCUCAGGACCUAUUCGGCCGUUC
rnacentral:lncRNA from 1 species